AGAGUUUGAUCCUGGCUCAGAUUGAACGCUGGCGGCAUGCCUUACACAUGCAAGUCGAACGGCAGCACGGGGCAACCUGGUGGCGAGUGGCGAACGGGUGAGUAAUAUAUCGGAACGUACCCUAGAGUGGGGGAUAACGUAGCGAAAGUUACGCUAAUACCGCGUACGAUCUAAGGAUGAAAGUGGGGGAUCCGCAAGGACCUCAUGCUCGUGGAGCGGCCGAUAUCUGAUUAGCUAGUUGGUAGGGUAAAAGCCUACCAAGGCAUCGAUCAGUAGCUGGUCUGAGAGGACGACCAGCCACACUGGAACUGAGACACGGUCCAGACUCCUACGGGAGGCAGCAGUGGGGAAUUUUGGACAAUGGGCGAAAGCCUGAUCCAGCAAUGCCGCGUGAGUGAAGAAGGCCUUCGGGUUGUAAAGCUCUUUUGUCAGGGAAGAAACGGUUGACCCUAAUACGGUUGGCUAAUGACGGUACCUGAAGAAUAAGCACCGGCUAACUACGUGCCAGCAGCCGCGGUAAUACGUAGGGUGCAAGCGUUAAUCGGAAUUACCGGGCGUAAAGCGUGCGCAGGCGGUUAUGUAAGACAGAUGUGAAAUGCCCGGGCUUAACCUGGGAACUGCAUUUGUGACUGCAUGGCUAGAAUCUGGCAGAGGGGGGUAGAAUUCCACGUGUAGCAGUGAAAUGCGUAGAUAUGUGGAGGAAUACCGAUGGCGAAGGCAGCCCCCUGGGCUAAGAUUGACGCUCAUGCACGAAAGCGUGGGGAGCAAACAGGAUUAGAUACCCUGGUAGUCCACGCCCUAAACGAUGUCUACUAGUUGUCGGGUCUUAAUUGACUUGGUAACGCAGCUAACGCGUGAAGUAGACCGCCUGGGGAGUACGGUCGCAAGAUUAAAACUCAAAGGAAUUGACGGGGACCCGCACAAGCGGUGGAUGAUGUGGAUUAAUUCGAUGCAACGCGAAAAACCUUACCUACCCUUGACAUGGCUGGAAUCCCUGAGAGAUCGGGGAGUGCUCGAAAGAGAGCCAGUACACAGGUGCUGCAUGGCUGUCGUCAGCUCGUGUCGUGAGAUGUUGGGUUAAGUCCCGCAACGAGCGCAACCCUUGUCAUUAGUUGCUACGAAAGGGCACUCUAAUGAGACUGCCGGUGACAAACCGGAGGAAGGUGGGGAUGACGUCAAGUCCUCAUGGCCCUUAUGGGUAGGGCUUCACACGUCAUACAAUGGUACAUACAGAGGGCCGCCAACCCGCGAGGGGGAGCUAAUCCCAGAAAGUGUAUCGUAGUCCGGAUUGUAGUCUGCAACUCGACUACAUGAAGUUGGAAUCGCUAGUAAUCGCGGAUCAGCAUGUCGCGGUGAAUACGUUCCCGGGUCUUGUACACACCGCCCGUCACACCAUGGGAGCGGGUUUUACCAGAAGUAGGUAGCUUAACCGCAAGGAGGGCGCUUACCACGGUAGGAUUCGUGACUGGGGUGAAGUCGUAAACAAGGUAACCGUA
rnacentral:rRNA from 1 species